CUGGGGGACCUUGGACACAUCUCUCUACCUUUCAGGCUUCGUUUACUAAUCUGUAAAAUGCAGCAUUGGUUCAGGUGACCAAGGAAGCCACUUCCAAGCUUCCAUUCAAGAUCUCCAAGGGGGUGACGUUGGAAGGAAGAGGAGAAGAAAGAGAAAUGGGUAACCACGAAGGGCCUAAAAGAGAGAUCUUUUCCCUCUUCUACAGAAUACUCCGAGGGAGGGGUCAAAGAACAAGGGCCGCAGACAAUAAACGGUGAGCGGCAGCCAGAACCUUUCGGCUAGGGCCCCGGGCUAACAAUGGGUUGCUAAGUUGCUGGGAGGGCCUCAAGGAUACCUUGCAGGCGCCGCCCCUUGACAACAGCAUCCUCUGGGCCCCCGGCCUCUCCUCACAAAGGAAUCCCACAGCCGCGGAAGAUUGUCAACAUUUAGCCAAACCACAAGGCAGAGGAAAACUACAGACCCUAUUAAAAAGAACAGCUGAUAUGGGGCCACUAUAAUUUCCCGAAUGAUGUUUAAAAAAAAAAAGAAAAGAAAAGAAAAAAAUUCAAGUAGGCAAAUGAGGAACCGGGAACUCCAGCGGGCCCCAACCCCCCCCCCCCCUCCCCUGUACGCCUGAGCCCUGAUUAGAUGCUCUAAGAAAGGGGAGAAAGAGAAAAGCAGGGGCCUGAGGCAAAACGCUUAUCAAAGAGGCAGAUCAGUGUUCUAGGCCGAGGGACCUUGCCUGGGAAAGGUUUUACCAAUUAAAAGGCCCUUGAAAUAAGUAAAUAAAUAAAUCUCCAGUUAGUUAACCGGCUCGGAGUUGGGGGGAAAAUGUCCCGGGGCUUUCUUCUAAAUGAGCUAUCACCUCUACCCUGGCCUUUGAGUAAACUGAAGGGAGGCAAUUAGGACGCCAAUCCGCCCCGGCCCUCCCCACCGCCAGCGCUCCCAGGCCCCCACUCACUGGGGCUUGUCAGUAAUGUGAUCUGAAAGAGAUAAAGCCCAAUUUCCCCAGCUCCUAGAGCUGAUAAACACCAAACCAAAGGCCGGCUCUGUUCACUGGGUGAUAAUUAAAGCCCUCAGGAAUCCGAGCAGUGCAAUGGUCAAAAGGACAAGGACAAACCCGAGCUUUGCCAAUGCCAUUCUGGGGUUUCUCUAAGCCACCUCCUCUUGGGUCGGAAUGUAACCCAAAGGGAUUAGUAUUUUCCCAUCCAUGUCUUUAAAGGGCACAACCAGACCAUAUCAGCACAUGAUUAACCUGGCUAACAUAUAACUCGAAGGCCACAAACACAGAAGGAAAUCAUUCCCUGCUUUAGAAAGAAUCGAGUUUAAGGAAUAUAAAAUGUGGAGGGGAUUCUGUCCUGACCAAAAAAAAAAGAGCCCCAAAGGGCAGAAAGGAGGCAGCUCUUCUGAAAAAAGCAAGGUGGAGGAGUCUUACAAAUGAUUAGUUUUUGUAGAGAAAGUCCUAUUUUCUGGAUUACCAGGAAAUAAGAAUUUUGUAUAUUACUUUUUUCUUUCUUUUUCUUUUCUUGUUUUUCUUUGAUUUUUGUUCUGUUUUCUUUUUUGUUUCUUUUUCUUGUUUCAUUUUGUUUUUUGUUGUUUUCUUUUUUGGUCUGUUUUUCACCACAUGGCUACUAUAGAAAUAUAUUUUGUGUGACUACAUGGAUAGUCUAUAUCAUAUUGCUUGUCUUCUCAUUUAAGGGAGAGGAGGAGAAAGAGCAUUUGGAACUAAAAUUAAAAAAAAUGAAUAUUAAAAUUAUUUUUAUGUAAUUGGAAAGAAAAUAGAUUUUAAAAGAACAUUUUAUUUUUUCUUCUAGUCACACCCUAAUUUUAUUUAUUUUUUAAUUUGAAUUUCUAUUUAAUUAAUUAAUUUAGAAUAUUUUUAUGUUCUUUCCUUCCCCUCAUUACACCUCCCUCCUGUAGCCAACAAUUCCACUGGGUUUUACAUGAGUCAUUGAUCAAGAUCUGUUUCCAUAUUAUUAAUAUUUGUAUUGACCCAUGUGAUCAAGCAGUUGUUUUCCUUCUGUUUUUCUACUCCCACAGUUCUUUCUCUGUAUGUGGAUAGUGUUAAAAGAACAUUAAAAAAAAAAAGAAUUUGCAUGCAUGGUAAGGUAGGUAAGACAUACAUGGCAGGCUUUCAGUCUAUCCCAGGGUUUCCUAGUCGUCCUAAAAAUAAAAACUCAACACUUAGUGCUUUAAGGUCGACAAAGGGCUUCCUUCCUUCUUGUCUCAUUAGCCCAACAAAGAGGCAGUCUGAGUUCAGUGGAGAGGUUGGUUUGAUCACACUGCCAAUGUGAUCUUGAAUAACUCAUUUAAUCCUGGGAACCUCAGUUUCCUCAUUUAUAUAAUGACGGGUUUGUUGACUGCCAAAAGGGUGAAGGUGUGUGGAAUGGGAUAAUAUUUGUGCCAUGAUUUAUAACACCCAGAAAUGCAGUCCCUCUUCAUAGUUACUAAAUUGUAAAGGAGACAAGAGCCCCUAUGUUUUUGUCAAGUGAAUUAUUAAUAUAGUUGUACAGUAUUGAAGCAGAAUAGAUGAAACAACUGGAUCCAAAUGUAUAAGCUAUUAAAUAAUAAUCUCUGACAGGGACCUUUCUU